rnacentral:lncRNA from 1 species
GCCUCGCCUGGGACGCGCCGCCCGCCGCGCUCCUCGCCGCGCUCAGGGGAUAUACGGUGGAGCACAAGCUCGCAGAUGAAGAGCAAGCGACUGCUUGGAUUGCGACACGACUAAGUAGCAACGCGCGCUCGCACACGCUCGAACGCCUCGCAUGCGGCACGCCUUACCGCAUAAGGCUCAUCGCACACAACGCGGUUGGUGCAUCACCGCCCAGCGAGGAACUGAUUGUCUCCACCAAAGGGGGACCUUCGCGAGCCCCAUCAGAGAAAGACCUAAUCGCCACAAACAGCACGUGCGCCCGUAUCAAUCUGCUGACUUGGGACAGUAAUGGAUGCCCUCUUACUCAGUUCACGGUGUCAGUGCGGAGUUUCGAGGAGACCACGUGGCGGUCGCAAACGGUCCCAGCGGUGGAGCCGACUGUGCUGUGUGGGCUGGUGACCGCGACAUGGUACCACCUAAAGGUGGUCGCCAACAGUGCCGCUGGUAUCACUACUGGCAAUUAUUACUUUUCAACCCUCACAGAGGAUGGAGAGCGCAUCCCGGCGCCGGCGCAGUUCCCGCCGGGCGGCGAGGGCGCGGCGCCGCG